rnacentral:rRNA from 1 species
CCUACGGGAGGCAGCAGUGAGGAAUAUUGGUCAAUGGGCGAGAGCCUGAACCAGCCAAGUCGCGUGAAGGAUGACGGCCCUACGGGUUGUAAACUUCUUUUGUCAGGGAGCAAUUGGGUCCACGCGUGGGCUUAGCGAGAGUACCUGCAGAAAAAGCAUCGGCUAACUCCGUGCCAGCAGCCGCGGUAAUACGGAGGAUGCGAGCGUUAUCCGGAUUUAUUGGGUUUAAAGGGUGCGUAGGCGGAAUAUCAAGUCAGCGGUAAAAAUUCGGGGCUCAACCCCGUCGUGCCGUUGAAACUGAUGGUCUUGAGUGGGCGAGAAGUAGGCGGAAUGCGUGGUGUAGCGGUGAAAUGCAUAGAUAUCACGCAGAACUCCGAUUGCGAAGGCAGCAUACCGGCGCCCAACUGACGCUGAAGCACGAAAGCGUGGGUAUCGAACAGGAUUAGAUACCCCUGUAGUC